rnacentral:rRNA from 1 species
UACGUAGGUGGCAAGCGUUGUCCGGAUUUACCGGGCGUAAAGAGCGCGCAGGCGGUCGUUCAAGUCGCGUGUGAAAGCCCCCGGCUCAACUGGGGAGGGUCACGCGAUACUGAUCGACUCGAAGGCAGGAGAGGGAAGUGGAAUUCCCGGUGUAGUGGUGAAAUGCGUAGAUAUCGGGAGGAACACCAGUGGCGAAGGCGACUUCCUGGCCUGUUCUUGACGCUGAGGCGCGAAAGCUAGGGGAGCAAACGGG